GGAGGAAAGUAGGGGAUCGCAAGACCUUGCGCUUUUGGAGCGGCCGUUGUCUGAUUAGCUAGUUGGUGGGGUAGAGGCUUACCAAGGCUUCGAUCAGUAGCUGGUCUGAGAGGACGACCAGCCACACUGGGACUGAGACACGGCCCAGACUCCUACGGGAGGCAGCAGUGGGGAAUUUUGGACAAUGGGGGAAACCCUGAUCCAGCCAUGCCGCGUGAGUGAAGAAGGCCUUCGGGUUGUAAAGCUCUUUCAGCCGGAACGAAAAGGUCACGGCUAAUACCUGUGACAAAUGACGGUACCGGAAGAAGAAGCACCGGCUAACUACGUGCCAGCAGCCGCGGUAAUACGUAGGGUGCAAGCGUUAAUCGGAAUUACUGGGCGUAAAGCGUGCGCAGGCGGUUUUGUAAGUCAGAUGUGAAAUCCCCGGGCUUAACCUGGGAACUGCGUUUGAAACUACAAAGCUA
rnacentral:rRNA from 1 species